rnacentral:rRNA from 1 species
UACGUAGGGGGCAAGCGUUGUCCGGAAUCAUUGGGCGUAAAGAGCGUGUAGGCGGCCCGAUAAGUCCGCCGUGAAAGUCCAGGGCUCAACCCUGGAAUGCCGGUGGAUACUGUCGGGCUAGAGUCCGGAAGGGGCGAGUGGAAUUCCUGGUGUAGCGGUGAAAUGCGCAGAUAUCAGGAGGAACACCAAUGGCGAAGGCAGCUCGCUGGGACGGUACUGACGCUGAGGUGCGAAAGCGUGGGGAGCGAACAGG